GGGCUAUGGAAGGCUGACAUUCCUCUCAAAAUCAAGAUCUUCUUAUGGCAAAUGUUUCGCAACCGCUUACCUACGUCGGACAACGUUGCCAAACGAAAUGGGUCGGCGGACGGCACGUGCACCACUUGCGGUUUAGGGGAAAACACGAACCACGUAUUCUUUGGUUGUGUGCUUGCUAGAUUUGCAUGGAGUGCGGUGAGAGACGCAUUCAAUCAAAAUUGGAACCCUCAAUCGAGCCACGACAUGCUGUCUAUCUUAACGUCGCAAAGAGGGGCCAAUGCUAGGAUAGUUUGGAGAUGCGUUGGGGCGCUUCUUUGGUCCCUCUGGACGGUUCGUAACAAAAUUACGAUUGAACACAAGUUCCCGGCCCACCCCGCUGAUAUUAUCUUCAAAUGCCAUAUUUUCCUUUAG
rnacentral:rRNA from 1 species